rnacentral:rRNA from 1 species
GGCAACCCUGACGGAGCAACGCCGCGUGGGGGAGGAAGGUCUGUGGAUUGUAAACCCCUUUUCUCUGUGAAGAAGAUCUGACGGUAGCAGAGGAAUCAGCAUCGGCUAACUCCGUGCCAGCAGCCGCGGUAAGACGGAGGAUGCAAGCGUUAUCCGGAAUAAUUGGGCGUAAAGCGUUCGUAGGUGGUUCUGUAAGUCUGCUGUUAAAGCGUGUAGCUCAACUACAUAUAGGCGGUGGAAACUACAGAACUUGAGUGCGUUCGGGGUAGAGGGAAUUCCUGGUGUAGCGGUGAAAUGCGUAGAGAUCAGGAAGAACACCGGUGGCGAAGGCGCUCUACUAGACCGCAACUGACACUGAGGGACGAAAGCUAGGGGAGCG